AGGUUCUGGACCCGUUUUUACGGGGGGUAAUGUUCGUGUUGUAGGGGAGGUUCUGCCGAAUUUUCGGUAGUUCCCGAGUCUAGAUUCUUAGACAGUCAGUCCUAGGAGUCUAGACCUAGGAUUAAUGAUGGAUUGUCUCAGCGUAUUGAUAAAUUGUUUUCCGUGAUUAGAUGAUCUGUCUGUUCGGCUCGCUCCUACCGAGGCACCGGAGCAGAGCUAGGAGGUCGCCAAUCCUGUGAGUUAAAGUCAUUUAAUCUUUGCGCUAUUGCUAGUCUGAUUUUAAUAUGCUAUUUAGAAUUUGUGCUUAAUAUGAUUAUUAGUAUGUUAUAAUAAGACAAACGUUAUUAUUUUUCCCCUCACAAAUUGCACGUUAUUUUAUCUUAAAUCUUUAAUCUUUAUUUCGAUAUGUGUUGGAUGAGUUCAGCAGAUAAUGAUAUUUAUUAUAUGUGAUGAUUGCGAAUUGGGAAAUGUGGCUUGUAGAACAUGCCGCCUGAUGGGUUACAUCAGGACCGCGUGCGCACCGGUAAUGAUCAUGGACAUGUAAUAAGAUAUUUAUGGGUUUGCCCUGGUCGAGCAUGGCUCUCUGGGCUGAUUUGUGUAAAUUGCCGGAGGUAAGGUCCCUGGUCGAGCAUUGCUCUCGGGGCGCCGGCUUAUUUGGAUAUUUAAGUGACCAGACUGGAGGUAAGGUCCCUGGUCGAGCAUUGCUCUCGGGGCGCCAGUCUUAUUGGAUUAAGAGAGCCGAAUGGCUAUUAGAUUUUGGGGUUUAGGGUUCUACCGAGCCACUCGUCCCGUAAAAGUAAAAAUAUAUUUUUAUUUAUUCAUUUAUUAAUUUAUUGUGGUAUGAUUAUAAUAUGGAUUGUAUUUACGUGCAUGGUUGAUAUUUUGAUUCGAAUGAUUAAUAUUUUAUGUGAAGGAAAUAGUAGGGUAUGAUUAUAGUAUGAUUUGAAUAAUCUAUGUUUUCUGAGAAGAAGCAAUAGUCCCUAGAUUAUUUGAUUUUAACUCACUCUCGAGACUGACAGUCUCCAUUUAUUGUUUUUCAGAUUCGUGACUGUUAGUUCUCUCGCGACUCUUAUUCAGUAACCCGACUCCUUCAUCAUCGGGUGAAGUAUUUGAUUUGGUAUGUAAAAUGGUAAAUCUUAGAUUCUCCGCAGUAGUAAAUAGUAGAUGUAUCAGUUGUAAAUUUUCUGAGCUUCGGGUCUCGCCUAGUUUUUUUUGGCAGACCGAAGUAUUUAUGUAGAAUGUGGCUAUUAAGAUAAUUUAUGGUUUUAAUAAUAUUAAUUUGAGAUGAGAUUUGUUUAAAUCAGUGAGUGUCAGGCUUACUACGGGUUUCGGUGGCCUUAAGCCUAC
rnacentral:lncRNA from 1 species